GAAGAGACUAGCCUAAGGCAUGUUUUGAGACCUUGAAAAUGGUCAAAUUUUGGAAAUUUACUACCAAAGAUAACAAAGCCAAAUCAUGACUCAGAUGGUGAACAUUCAGCUUUAGGUUAAUGAAGCUUUUGCUGUCAGCUGUUGUAUUGCUGUGAGAAAUUU